rnacentral:rRNA from 1 species
UUUGGUUAAGUUAGAAAGGGCGCACGGUGGAUGCCUUGACACUAGGAGUCGAUGAAGGACGGGACUAACGCCGAUAUGCUUCGGGGAGCUGUAAGUAAGCUUUGAUCCGAAGAUUUCCGAAUGGGGAAACCCACCAUACGUAAUGGUAUGGUAUCCUUAUCUGAAUACAUAGGGUAAGGGAAGACAGACCCAGGGAACUGAAACAUCUAAGUACCUGGAGGAAGAGAAAGCAAAUGCGAUUUCCUGAGUAGCGGCGAGCGAAACGGAACAUAGCCCAAACCAAGAGGCUUGCCUCUUGGGGUUGUGUGGACAUUCUAUACGGAGUUACAAAGGAACGAGGUAGACGAAGCGACCUGGAAAGGUCCGUCGUAGAGGGUAACAACCCCGUAGUCGAAACUUCGUUCUCUCUUGAAUGUAUCCUGAGUACGGCGGAACACGUGAAAUUCCGUCGGAAUCUGGGAGGACCAUCUCCCAAGGCUAAAUACUCCCUAGUGAUCGAUAGUGAACCAGUACCGUGAGGGAAAGGUGAAAAGCACCCCGGAAGGGGAGUGAAAGAGAUCCUGAAACCGUGUGCCUACAAAUAGUCAGAGCCCGUUAACGGGUGAUGGCGUGCCUUUGUAGAAUGAACCGGCGAGUUACGAUCCCGUGCGAGGUUAAGCUGAAGAGGCGGAGCCGCAGCGAAAGCGAGUCUGAAUAGGGCGUUUAGUACGUGGUCGUAGACCCGAAACCAGGUGAUCUACCCAUGUCCAGGGGUGAAGUUCAGGUAACACUGAAUGGAGGCCCGAACCCACGCACGUUGAAAAGUGCGGGGAUGAGGUGUGGGUAGCGGAGAAAUUCCAAUCGAACCUGGAGAUAGCUGGUUCUCCCCGAAAUAGCUUUAGGGCUAGCCUUAAGUGUAAGAGUCUUGGAGGUAGAGCACUGAUUGGACUAGGGGUCCUCAUCGGAUUACCGAAUUCAGUCAAACUCCGAAUGCCAAUGACUUAUCCUUAGGAGUCAGACUGCGAGUGAUAAGAUCCGUAGUCAAAAGGGAAACAGCCCAGACCGCCAGCUAAGGUCCCAAAGUGUGUAUUAAGUGGAAAAGGAUGUGGAGUUGCUUAGACAACUAGGAUGUUGGCUUAGAAGCAGCCACCAUUUAAAGAGUGCGUAAUAGCUCACUAGUCGAGUGACUCUGCGCCGAAAAUGUACCGGGGCUAAAUACACCACCGAAGCUGCGGAUUGAUACCAAUGGUAUCAGUGGUAGGGGAGCGUUCUAAGGACAGUGAAGUCAGACCGGAAGGGACUGGUGGAGUGCUUAGAAGUGAGAAUGCCGGUAUGAGUAGCGAAAGACGGGUGAGAAUCCCGUCCACCGAAUGCCUAAGGUUUCCUGAGGAAGGCUCGUCCGCUCAGGGUUAGUCAGGACCUAAGCCGAGGCCGACAGGCGUAGGCGAUGGACAACAGGUUGAUAUUCCUGUACCACCUCUUUAUCGUUUGAGCAAUGGAGGGACGCAGAAGGAUAGAAGAAGCGUGCGAUUGGUUGUGCACGUCCAAGCAGUUAGGCUGAUAAGUAGGCAAAUCCGCUUAUCGUAAAGGCUGAGCUGUGAUGGGGAAGCUCCUUAUGGAGCGAAGUCUUUGAUUCCCCGCUGCCAAGAAAAGCUUCUAGCGAGAUAAAAGGUGCCUGUACCGCAAACCGACACAGGUAGGCGAGGAGAGAAUCCUAAGGUGUGCGAGAGAACUCUGGUUAAGGAACUCGGCAAAAUGACCCCGUAACUUCGGGAGAAGGGGUGCUUUCUUAACGGAAAGCCGCAGUGAAUAGGCCCAAGCGACUGUUUAGCAAAAACACAGCUCUCUGCGAAGCCGUAAGGCGAAGUAUAGGGGGUGACACCUGCCCGGUGCUGGAAGGUUAAGGAGAGGGGUUAGCGUAAGCGAAGCUCUGAACUGAAGCCCCAGUAAACGGCGGCCGUAACUAUAACGGUCCUAAGGUAGCGAAAUUCCUUGUCGGGUAAGUUCCGACCCGCACGAAAGGUGUAACGAUUUGGGCACUGUCUCAACCAGAGACUCGGUGAAAUUAUAGUACCUGUGAAGAUGCAGGUUACCCGCGACAGGACGGAAAGACCCCGUGGAGCUUUACUGUAGCCUGAUAUUGAAUUUUGGUACAGUUUGUACAGGAUAGGCGGGAGCCAUUGAAACCGGAGCGCUAGCUUCGGUGGAGGCGCUGGUGGGAUACCGCCCUGACUGUAUUGAAAUUCUAACCUACGGGUCUUAUCGACCCGGGAGACAGUGUCAGGUGGGCAGUUUGACUGGGGCGGUCGCCUCCUAAAGUGUAACGGAGGCGCCCAAAGGUUCCCCUCAGAAUGGUUGGAAAUCAUUCGUAGAGUGCAAAGGCAUAAGGGAGCUUGACUGCGAGACCUACAAGUCGAGCAGGGACGAAAGUCGGGCUUAGUGAUCCGGUGGUUCCGCAUGGAAGGGCCAUCGCUCAACGGAUAAAAGCUACCCCGGGGAUAACAGGCUUAUCUCCCCCAAGAGUCCACAUCGACGGGGAGGUUUGGCACCCUCGAUGUCGGCUCAUCGCAUCCUGGGGCUGUAGUCGGUCCCAAGGGUUGGGCUGUUCGCCCAUUAAAGCGGUACGCGAGCUGGGUUCAGAACGUCGUGAGACAGUUCGGUCCCUAUCCGUCGUGGGCGUAGGAAAUUUGAGAGGAGCUGUCCUUAGUACGAGAGGGACCGGGAUGGACGCACCGCUGGUGUACCAGUUGUUCUGCCAAGGGCAUAGCUGGGUAGCUAUGUGCGGAAGGGAUAAGUGCUGAAAGCAUCUAAGCAUGAAGCCCCCCUCAAGAUGAGAUUUCCCAUAGCGUAAGCUAGUAAGAUCCCUGAAAGAUGAUCAGGUUGAUAGGUUCGAGGUGGAAGCAUGGUGACAUGUGGAGCUGACGAAUACUAAUAGAUCGAGGACUUAACCAUAUAA